GUCCCAAGGACACUCAGGCAGCCCAGUGGAGAGACCCCUGGGGUCUCCAGCACAGUCAUGUGAGUGAAGUCCUCAAGGAAGCAGACCCUUCAGCUACAGUCAAACCUGCAGAUGCCUACAGCCCUGGCUGACAUUCUGACUGCAUCCACAAGAAAGCUCUUGAGAUAGAUUCCUGACCUGCAGAAAGCGUGAAAUUAUGAUUGUUUGUGGUGUUAAACUGCUAAAUGUGGGGGUAGUUUGUUAAAUAACAAAAGAUAACUAAUGGAUCCACUUUCCAGAAGCGUGAUGAGGAAUGAGCAAGAUAGAAAAGGUAAAUGGCACCUUCGUCGUGGAUUGAAUUUCCAGGGGAAGGCCUUUUCCCUCAGCACUCUGUAAUGUUCUCCUCCUACCUAGUAGCUGCUCGCAUUUUCCUCUACUGGAUAAUUACUCUACUCCUGCCUCGUGGAUGAUACCUGUCACCAGAUAGAUUUCCUUUUUGCUUUGUAUAUCAGUUGUUAUGUUUUCCUUCAAGUUUUUUUUUUAUAUUUCCCUUCGUUAUUUAAAUUUUGAAAUAUAAUCAGGAUGUGUUUAA